UACAGAGGGGGCAAGCGUUGUUCGGAAUUACUGGGCGUAAAGGGCGCGUAGGCGGCCGGCUAAGUCGAACGUGAAAUCCCCGGGCUCAACCCGGGAACUGCGUCCGAUACUGGCAGGCUUGAAUCCGGGAGAGGGAUGCGGAAUUCCAGGUGUAGCGGUGAAAUGCGUAGAUAUCUGGAGGAACACCGGUGGCGAAGGCGGCAUCCUGGACCGGUAUUGACGCUGAGGCACGAAAGCGUGGGGAGCGAACAGG
rnacentral:rRNA from 1 species